GCAUCCUUAGUUCAGUUUGGUAGAACGUAGGUUUCCAAAAUCUAAUGCCGUGGGUUCAAAUCCUACAGGAUGCG
rnacentral:tRNA from 1 species